CAGGGCUCAGGGAUUGGAUGGAGG
rnacentral:miRNA from 1 species